UGCUAGUAUCCUGCAUGCCACAACAAAUAUUUUGUCUGUAGUAAGUAGAAUUAUAUAUAAGAAUAGAAGCAUGAUCGUCUUCUUUGGACAAGAAGCAUGAUCGUCUUCUUUGGACACUCCAAGAUGGACACGAGAACGGCGCCUCUUUCCUUCCUCAUAGUACUGAUGCUAGUCACAAAUUCUGCAUCUGCUGAUGAAUGCAACAUAGUCACUGUGGAUGUAACUUGGUGCACAAAGAUUCUGUGCAAGCUUGGAUGCAUUGUAUACAGGGCCUCGCACGGUGGGGGCAAAAUUAAACAAUAUUGGUGUGAGGGCAGUUGGAAGGGAGGUGUAUGUUAUUGUGAAAUGUGCCAUGGGUGAUAUAUCCAUGGGCUGCCUGCUUUGUAGCUAUAUGCCAUGAGAGUCAAACCAAGAAUAAGAGACAAAUAAUAAUAUGUAAUUUCCCAUGACUGGUAUGCAUAUAUACAGUAUGGAGAUAUGAUGUG